UCCUCCUCCUUUCUCUUUCUGACUCUAUGUACCAACGAGCAGAUACUGGGCUGGGCGAGCUCUUCUUCCGCCAGCUGCAGCGCCGCCUCUUCAUAACAAAGCAACACUUCCCUUCGGCAGCAGGUUUCCCAGUCGAAAACCACACCCUCCCUGAGCCAGGACAGGUGCAGCAGACAGGACUCGCUGCACUGUGGAUGCUCCUCCCAGCGAUGACACCUUUCUGCACCUCCUCUUUUCUGAAGCGGUCUCUGAUGAUGGCUCCAUAACUGCACCUCCGCUAGUGUCUGGUAUGUCUGCCCUGGAAACAGAGGGCCUUCGCUGGGGCAGAGAGGAGGGGUGCAUGUCCCUUUCGCAGCACACCUCCAAGAUGAUGAGACCCCCACAGUUAACCGGCUAAGCCUUCACAGACACAGAGACAGAAGAGGACACUUCAUGUGCAGCUCAUGCAGACAGACUGUGGGUCUGACCAUAGGAGUUCAAUGGUGCACAAGAAGAUAUGGGCGUCCCUCAGACUAUAAUCACGUCCCUCUCUGGGAGACGCAAUGGAUAAUCAUGUGACAUCCUGCAGGCCUGCUGGCCACAGUCGAUACUGGCAUGGUCCAGAUGCACCAAAUCUGGGGACCAAAGAGUGCAAUAAACCAAAUAGUGCCUUAACGUUCCCCCAUUAGACCCCUAUUUUAGGCUAAAUAUAGCGCCAUCAUCCUGACUUCCUUUCCUCGGAAACCCAACCUUUCCCAUAAACUCCUAUAGAAAAGUAACACAAGAAGCAGUGCUUUCAGCUGACCCUUUGCUCCAGUACAAUCAGAUUGGGAAGGAGGGGAAAACAAGACUGUCGCAGUAAACGUAAUGCAGUAUCUCAACAAGAUAUAACGUUUCAAUCUUUCUUCAACGCUGGCUGUGGUUGACCUUUGAACUUUCCACAAAUGGCAUGGCCACUGGGACAAAUAAUAGAUGUGAUUCUUUUGCAAAAAUGUUGUCACUUCAGACUGAGGCAGUAACCGUGGCUUGUGCUGGCUCCCCUGACUCAUACUAGCAAGUAGAUUCAAGCAGAGUCAUUCAACAAUGACGGUGGCACAUAUAUAGUCUUGUCCAAGGACCUGUGCAAUAGCUGUCAGAAAAAUAAGACUCUCCUGUGGCUCUCGAGCAAGAGGUUAACCACAGGGAUAGACCAAAUACAGUUUAGUGCCACAGCUUAGCUAAAACACUAUGAUUAUCACAACACAGGGUUAGAAUAUAAAACAAUCCUUACCAUUGACCAAUAGUUAUCUACAAUAUACAUCCAACCAAGAAAGAAAUAAAUAUAGCAUGUAUAAUAUAGGGAUCACAUGACAUUAUUAUACUCAUGUACUGUGUUUUUACAGCAUGGCACAAUGUGCAUUACGUUCAGCUGAUUCUGGGUAAUUUCAUCCUCUUCUUGUUCUUCUGAUCUGGCUUAUUUGUAAAGGCAAACAAGCGCUGUGAAUAGGAACAGAAACUGAUUCCAGGGAACUCUGGUAAAUGGCAUAAUGAAAUUGCGAGACGAGGGGAAGGGGGAAUUCAUUACUUCAUCUAGCCCAUGUCAAGAUAUGGGAAACAUGCUAUGAUGCCUACAUUCAUUUUCUCCUCAAUUAUUUUUGCGGCGGGUGUCUGGUGCUGUGCACUGUGACAGGACUCCUGCUCAUUUUUUACAGCGUAUGCAAAGCAUGCUCAUGGAGAGGUAGCAGGAGAACACACCCUGAGGAGCUUCUGUCACUUGGCUGUGACUGCUGACUUUUCCAAGGAGUUUCAUUUCUGUUUCUGUCCAUCUGUCACCCGUUCCACUGUCUAACCACCGUUGGCAUGGAAACACGAAAUUGGCACCCGGUGCUCUCGGUCUGCCGCCAAAAUCCUCUCCAGGUGUUCUCCGCCCUUCCUAUGACCUGGGAUCAACCUGGUGAGGGCAGCAAGGUCAGCCGUCCUCAGGUGGAAGACAUCGGCCUGACCAGGCGAACAGAACGACAGGCCGUCUCUUAGCAUUUGCGUAAUUGGUGUGGCAUUUAGCGCGCAACAUGUCUUCUCUAGGGGAGACCAAAUUGACCUUCCUCGUUUUAAAGGUGGCUCAAGGCCUGUGAUUUUCAGGGCUCACCACAGUUCAAGAGGAAGGUCUUCUGAUUACUGCAGAAUAGCAGUUAUGAUGUUUCUGCAUUUAUGUGAUCAAUACAACCUUGUUGUAUUGUUUUGCUGAUGCUAUGCUAAUAGUAUCAUGCUGAAGACAUGGGCAAGAACCCUUAUCAAUCACACGUUUUGUUAAUUUGGUUCACAAGAUUCAAAGAUGUUCUGAGGUUUCUAAAGGCUGGAAUUCCCACAAAAAAACAAUUAUUUGAAUUUAAAAUGCAGGGUCUCAAGAAAUAUGAUGGUGGUGGUAUUGGGGGAGGGGUGGUACUGACAUCGCCAUCAUUAUUUUUCAGCAUCUCAAUUACUCUUUCCAUUGGAAUGCAAAUCCCAACUCCAAACAGAUCUCCAACAGCAGGCCUGUUCACUCUCUGUAGUUUCCAAUCUAUCCAAAGCAGAAGAGACAUCUCCUGUGGGCACUAUCACUGAGUACAGCACAACUAUGAAUAAACACAGGGAAGCCUUCACUCAGUACAAGAUGCUUACGUUAAUAUAUGUAAUAUACAAUAAUCACAGGCAAUCAAUCACCACAAACGGCCCAUCUGGGCACAAUAAAAAUAGGGAAGCUUCCACCAAUGAAUGGAGGGAAGCAUUUACAGUAUGUUUGGAACCAACAAACACAGAGGAAGAAGGCCUAUUCUCAAGUGUGUUGUUAUUUUACACACAUUCUACUGUGUUGUUGGGUGUUGACUUGUCCUCUUGGAUAGCAGCUAAGCUCCCCUGACUGCCUUGAGAGUGUGACUUUAGGGAUGGGCUGUAUUGAUGUGUAUGGACAUUAGUGUGGAUACUGUCUUUCUGUCCUCAGUAUUCUAGACACGCUUUUAGCUGGGAAUGAAGUCACUCCUGAUUUGGGUGACGCACCUCGUAGUGAAAGCCUGUCAGGCCUGACAACUGCCAGCUCCG